GAUUCUGGGCGUAAGCGCACGCAGGCGGUCUGUCAAGUCGGAUGUGAAAUCCCCGGGCUCAACCUGGGAACUGCAUUCGAAACUGGCAGGCUAGAGUCUUGUAGAGGGGGGUAGAAUUCCAGGUGUAGCGGUGAAAUGCGUAGAGAUCUGGAGGAAUACCGGUGGCGAAGGCGGCCCCCUGGACAAAGACUGACGCUCAGGUGCGAAAGCGUGGGGAGCAAACAGGAUUAGAUACCCUGGUAGUCCACGCCGUAAACGAUGUCGACUUGGAGGUUGUGCCCUUGAGGCGUGGCUUCCGGAGCUAACGCGUUAAGUCGACCGCCUGGGGAGUACGGCCGCAAGGUUAAAACUCAAAUGAAUUGACGGGGGCCCGCACAAGCGGUGGAGCAUGUGGUUUAAUUCGAUGCAACGCGAAGAACCUUACCUACUCUUGACAUCCAGAGAACUUUGCAGAGAUGGAUUGGUGCCUUCGGGAACUCUGAGACAGGUGCUGCAUGGCUGUCGUCAGCUCGUGUUGUGAAAUGUUGGGGUAAGUCCCGCAACGAGCGCAACCCUUAUCCUUUGUGCCAGCGG
rnacentral:rRNA from 1 species